GUAAUAUAUCGGAACGUGCCCAGUCGUGGGGGAUAACGUAGCGAAAGUUACGCUAAUACCGCAUACGAUCUAAGGAUGAAAGCGGGGGACCGUAAGGCCUCGCGCGAUUGGAGCGGCCGAUAUCAGAUUAGGUAGUUGGUGGGGUAAAGGCUCACCAAGCCAACGAUCUGUAGCUGGUCUGAGAGGACGACCAGCCACACUGGAACUGAGACACGGUCCAGACUCCUACGGGAGGCAGCAGUAGGGAAUUUUGGACAAUGGACGCAAGUCUGAUCCAGCCAUUCCGCGUGCAGGAUGAAGGCCCUCGGGUUGUAAACUGCUUUUGUACGGAACGAAAAGGUCUCUCUUAAUACGAGGGGCUCAUGACGGUACCGUAAGAAUAAGCACCGGCUAACUACGUGCCAGCAGCCGCGGUAAUACGUAGGGUGCAAGCGUUAAUCGGAAUUACUGGGCGUAAAGCGUGCGCAGGCGGUUAUGUAAGACAGAGGUGAAAUCCCCGGGCUCAACCUGGGAACUGCCUUUGUGACUGCAUAGCUAGAGUACGGUAGAGGGGGAUGGAAUUCCGCGUGUAGCAGUGAAAUGCGUAGAUAUGCGGAGGAACACCGAUGGCGAAGGCAAUCCCCUGGACCUUUACUGACGCUCAUGCA
rnacentral:rRNA from 1 species